rnacentral:rRNA from 1 species
AUUGAACGCUGGCGGCAGGCCUAACACAUGCAAGUCGAACGAGUGGCGGACGGGUGAGUAAUGUCUGGGAAACUGCCUGAUGGAGGGGGAUAACUACGGGAAACGGUAGCUAAUACCGCAUACCAUCAGAUGUGCCCCGAUGGGCUUAGCUUGUUGGUGGGGGAACGGCUCACCAGGGCGACGCUCCCUAGCUGGUCUGAGAGGAUGACCAGCCACACUGGGACUGAGACACGGUCCAGACUCCUACGGGAGGAAGCAGUGGGGAAUAUUGCACAAUGGGGGCAAUCCUGAUGCAGCCAUGCAGAGUGUAUGAAGAAGGCCUUCGGGUUGUAAAGUACUUUCAGCGGGGAGGCGUUACCCGCAGAAGAAGCACCGGCUAACUCCGUGACAGCAGCCGCGGUAAUUC